UCUUCCUGCUUCCUAUAUAAGGAAAAAAUGUUUCCCUCUCACUCAUUCUUCACGAUCACACCUGUGAACAAUGGACAUUGCUGCUCCUUCAGAAAAGUUUGCUUCCACAUCUUCACGAUAUCAUAGGGACUAUAUCGAGCUGGAAUCGCUUGGUGAGGGUGGUUUCGCACAUGUUUUUAAAUGCACAAAUCUUGUGGACGAUCAAAUGUAUGCCGUGAAGAAGAUAUUUUUCAAUUAUGAUAUUGGAAACAAGUUGAGG